AGGCGAGAUGGGCACAAGAGCCGGGAUGAGCAAUCCAGGGAUUCCAGGGAGCUCAGAAUCGCAGCUGCUGCCAGAACCAUGGCCUUAGGGAGAAGAACACCAACUCAGAGCCAUUGAGACCUGACAGUCCCUUGCAGCGAGAGCUCAGCACACAUCCACAGAGUCCAGCAUCUGAAAGAAGAAAAAUAAACACAAGAAAUAGGUUCUUGUUCCAGAGAUGCUCUGACCCCAGAGCCAUACAGGGUCUGUAGCCUUGAUAAAUAGGAAUGAAAUUGGCCAAGUCUGUCAGGAAAGCAAAAACAUCCUGGGGUUUGCUUGGCCAAAGAUGGACCAUGAAUAUGUCUGUACUUCCAGUGGGUGUGAGUGCCGAUCCUUUUUGGUUUGUGGGGUGCCUCUGGCCCCUCAGAAGGAAGGGGGGAGGCUGCCACAGCUGCACCUGAGGGCAAUAUUGGCUCUUUCCAAACUGCUUGAUGCAGACCUGGAAGAACAGCUUUCCUCCUUUCUCUCCAUCCCUGGGCAGAACAUGAAGAUGAAGCUGCACUAAGCUCUCUGUUCUGUGGGCUUUUAUUUGGUUUGGGU